GACGAACGCUGGCGGCGUGCUUAACACAUGCAAGUCGAACGGAAAGGCCCUGCUUUUGUGGGGUGCUCGAGUGGCGAACGGGUGAGUAACACGUGAGUAACCUGCCCUUGACUUUGGGAUAACUUCAGGAAACUGGGGCUAAUACCGGAUAGGAGCUCCUGCUGCAUGGUGGGGGUUGGAAAGUUUCGGCGGUUGGGGAUGGACUCGCGGCUAAUCAGCUUGUUGGUGGGGUAGUGGCUUACCAAGGCUUUGACGGGUAGCCGGCCUGAGAGGGUGACCGGCCACCUUGGGACUGAGAGACGGCGCAGACUGCUACGGGAGGCAGCAGUGGGGAAUAUUGCACAAUGGGCGGAAGCCUGAUGCAGCAACGCCGCGUGCGGGAUGACGGCCUUCGGGUUGUAAAACGCUUUCGCCUGUGACGAAGCGUAAGUGACGGUAAUGGGUAAAGAAGCACCGGCUAACUACGUG
rnacentral:rRNA from 1 species